GACAAUUCUCUACAUACUAUAGCAUGCUACUAGCGACACUAUAGCAUGCUAUUUUCGCAGUGAUACAACACAAAUCUUUUUCAGCGCACGUGGUGCCCAACACUCUAAGUCAAACAUGCUUGACUAAGAAGUUCUCACGCGAUUGCUUCUAGAUAUGGGGACGGGUACGGCCGUGGUCAUGGAGGACAGGGUGACGAGGGAACACAUCGCGGCCGACGAGGAGUGCAUGGAGGACCUCCGCCGCCAGUACUGGGGCUUUUGAACUUGCGAGUGUGUUUCAUACUCCAAGUUUGAAUAACCAUUUACUGAGGAGCACUAUCUAGUAUUAUAUCUCGAGUUCUCGACAGUCGACACCACCUUGAUCUUUCGCGACAACGAACGCUCCAUCUAUAGCCAGAUAAUGUUUUCCCUGGCCGCAUUACAAAAACCGAAUCGAAUCCGGCUGAUGGUCAAUCCGUAUCAGCAACCGCGUGGCGUGGUGAGGAAAGGUGGGCAGAGAACCUUGUGUACUAUACUAGUAUGCUCUAUCUUUAUGUGAUCUCCGCGUCCCUCUUGUCUAUGAGCAUCUCUUUGGCGGUGGGUGUGGAUGUGUGUAUAUAGAUACGAACUUGGGGCGUCGAGAAGCACCCAUCAUCAGUCAGCUGAAUCCCGUGGAUCGAUCGAUCGCCGGCCACAGCAUCGGUUCUCCAAACGGCGACGAGCACGUCCGAAGCUGGUCGUUAGAUAGAUAGAUAGAUAGAUACGUGAUGGAGAACGACAGGAACAACCAGGCGCCGCCGCUACCCCCAGGCUACUACCCAUCUGCGGCUGCGGAGCAACGUCAAGCCGGUGGCGGGAAGAAGUCGCGCCGGGGGAGCACCAAAUCCAGGGGCGAGAAGGGAUUCAUCGAAGGAUGCCUGGCGGCGCUGUGCUGCUGCUGGAUCUGUGAGAUGUGCUGCGACUAACCGGCCGGCGACGUCGCUGCCGUUGGUGCUAGUACCUGCGUUGAAGAACGUACACAUACAGAGAGAGUCGCUGCUUAAUUACAGUGUUUGUUUGUUUGUUUGUUGUUUUAGGUUCUGCGUAACUAACCGAGAACCCGCGCGCGUGUGAUGUCCUUGUACCGUUCCUCAAACCUAUAAUCAAUUUUAAGGCACCAAAUUA